CUUUGUGUAUCUAUAAGGCUCCUAUUAGGGAGCAGGUGCUCUCAGAUAGAGAAUUGAGUGGACUUGAUUUGGCUUUUACAGCCGGGUGUUGCAGCGGAACCCAGGAACAAGGAAUCCCAGUGAUUUCCGAGGUUCCAGCUUAGUCUGUUCAUGUGAGAUGUAUUUAUUUUACUAUUGUAUUAUAAUCUUAUUAACUGUGUGUAUUGUUCAGUAACCAGCUGUGGCAGAGACUUUUUGCAGGUUAGACCUUUUUAUCACAUUUUUGUACCUUUUUUGACCCAAUUUCUUUCAGAAGUUGGUUUUAGGACCUCAGACUCAUCCUUCAAACAUUUGCUUCAGUUGAAAUGUUCAGCUUCUUCAUGUCCCCUUUUAAAAACAUUUCUGAAAAAUUGAAUGCCCCUAUUUGAUUAAAAACAACCCUUUUGUCAGAUCUAUGUUCUGUCCCUAUGGGUGCUGUAUAAGGGAGGUAAGCCAAUCUUUAUUAUUUUUUCUGAGGAAAAAAAACCUCAACUGGGGAAAAAGCAGGAAAAGAAAAAGUUGAUGGAAGGUACCAUUUUUCUCUUCUUCUCUGUGUUAUAGCAUUAUUAACCUUCUGUAGAAUUAUCUGAAUUUUCAAACGUGUAAUAGUGUUAAUCAUUCAUUUGAUUCUUAAGGAGAAUGACCUUUGACCUCUCUUUUAUAUACCUCCCUCAAUGAAGAGUUCCAGUUAUGGAGUCGGUAGAAGGGCCAGUGGAUCCAUACUGCUUUGUGGAGUUCUACGACCAUGCCUCGGCCGCUGCAGCCUUAGCCGCCAUGAAUAAAAGGAUGUGUCUGGGAAGGGAAAUGAAGGUGAAUUGGGCCACUUCCCCUAGUAACACUCCCAAACAAGAUACCAGUAAACAUUUUCACAUAUUUGUCGGAGAUUUGAGUCCAGAUAUAGAAACUUCACAGCUAAAGGAAGCUUUCCGAGUAUUUGGUGAAAUCUCAGACUGUAAAAUCAUCCGAGAUCCUCAGACAUUGAAAUCCAAGGGCUAUGGUUUUGUGUCGUAUGUCAACAAAGUGGAUGCUGAGACAGCGAUCAGUAAUAUGAAUGGACAGUGGCUAGGAAGUAGACCAAUCAGAACCAACUGGGCCACCCGAAAACCUCCCGCCCCUGUACCUAAAGAAUCCCAAAUAAAGCAGCUGUCGUAUGAAGAAGUCUACAGUUUAUCUAGUUCUACCAACUGUACUGUUUACUGUGGAGGUAUAGGACCCGGGGUCACAGAAGAAGCAAUAAAGAGUGCAUUCAACACCUACGGCACGAUCCAAGAAAUCCGAGUGUUCAAGGAAAAGGGAUAUGCAUUUAUCAGAUUUUCAAAUAAAGAGUCGGCUACAAAGGCUAUUUGUGGAGUAAAUGGAACAGUAAUUGGAGAAAAUAUGGUCAAGUGUUCGUGGGGAAAGGAAUCCAAUGACCCUAAUCAGUCAGGAGGAGGGGCAGGGUCCCCCUCUCAAAUGUCUCAAUCUGGGUCCCAGGGCCCCUCCCAGUAUGGGGGACAGUAUUACAACAUGGGCUACGGCUACCAACCAGCUUACCCCUCCUACAUGCCUCAGCAGCAGUACAUGCCUCAGGGCUAUGGCUACGGAAAUGGAGGAUAUCAGAUGCAGGGAAUGCAGCCUUAUGGAAUGGUUCCACCUGGAACCCAGCAGCAGUUUCCUGGACAGGGAGGCAUGAUGGGAUAUCCCAUGCAGCAAGGAUUGGGUAGUGUGAUGGCAUUAAGUUAUGUCAAGUCCAGCCCCUGAACACCCAGCGACACGCCAGGGAGUGAAUGUUUGAUGGAGAAAGCCAACAGAAUAUCAUUGAGACCUAGCAAGCUCCAAACAUCUUUGGCUGUUAGAACGGUUUUAUUUGUAAGAAUGUGAUUGGUGCAUUCCUGGUUUCCAAGGAGAUGGACACUUUCUCUGUAGAAAAUCAUUUAAAUGAUGAAAAAAAUGUACAGAUAUAAUUAUGUACUUGUAAAUAUUUGAUAGUGGAUGGAAGAGUCUACAAAUUAUAGACCUAGAUCAUUGUCUGUUCUAUUAAUCUGGGUCACACUCACUUUGCUCAUGUUGAGGAAAUGGAGUUUAUUCUCUUGGUGGCCAUUUUUUACAGACAUACAACGAAAAAGAUUCAAUCUGCAUCUGUUAUUGCUAGAUGUGUUAAUUGUAGACAAAUUAGGAGGGAAUUAGUGGGUACAUGCACAGAUAAAAUUUACAGGCACUCAGGCUUACUUCUCCAUUGAUUUCAUUUUAUUUACUCCUUGGCAAUGUGUUAAAAUAUAUAGUUUUGGUCUUAAUUUACUAUUUUUUCUUGUAAUGCUAUUUAAAAUUGUAAAUUUUCUUUGUUAUUAUAGUUCUUUUUCUAAAAUUAUCCCCAAGAUGUGUAUUUUGUAUUUCAGUUUAGCACUUUUUUUUGGUUGCUAAAUUUUAGGACUUGAUUUAGACUUUAAUACAAAAUUAUCAUUGAUUGAAAAUGAACAUAUUUUGAAGGAAUAAACAUUUAUAUUUUAAUAUGUCAAUGAAUUCAGAAUUUUAGACCUGCUCAAUCUGUUCACUGUUUUUAAUAUGGUUCCACAAUAAUGGUUUUAUUAAAUGUCUCAUUGCAAUUCUGCUGUGUUCAAUGUAGGAUUUUUUCUUUAGAAAUUUUGAUUUUAAUUGAAAAAAGAAAAUUAUAUUUUGGAAAAGCUAAGUUUUUUGUUGUGUAUUUUCAUUGAUAAAUUGGGUGAAUGUUAUUUUCCUGUUUUUGUUAGAAAAAAAUGAAAUAGAAAAUAUAUUUGUUAGUGCCAAUAGAAACUUUUGACCUCUCGUUUUGUAUAGUUAGAUAAUUUAAACUCUGUUAUAAGAUCACUGGUAGACGUAUGUUCAGCUAUUGGAUUAUUUGAGGUGAGUAAUUGCAUUCCAGAUUUUUUUUUCCAGUGGAAACCGAAAGAAUGAUUGUGUAAACAUGUCUCAACUUAGAUAAGCCCCCAAAAUGGGGAGGAAAAGUAGUGUGUUUUAUGUUUCAUGGCUGUGGAGGGAAAUUCAGGCCUUGUAAAUAGAGAUCAUCAUUUUAGCUUGUGAAUUCUCAUAGGUCUAGCCAGAGAAAAAUUUGUGUCAAUUCUCACACUGAUCUUUGGAUCAUUCAUUGUGUCAUGUCUUAUCAAUGUGUCUGGAGUAGAUUAUCAUGAUGUUGAGAAUAUUAUUGUCAUUAUUCUUUUUUUUUUUUGUCCAUGAAUUGUAUAUUUUGUGUAAUGAUAAUUUAUUAAGCUGUUAGAUUAUGUAUCAGCGACAGGAUUUACUGCUUGUUACACCUUGAAAGUUGUGGUCACCAUUUGAAUAUGUUAAUUGGUCAGUUAUAUACCAUGCAAUAAGAAGUUGGACUACGAUCAUUUUGAAUGUUUUAGGUUUUGAAAUGUUAAAAUAUUUAUAUUUUUAUACAGCAUUUCAGGCAGAAAUACAUUGAUUUUUUUUAAUAGAAGGAUAUUGAUUUUAUUUGUUUUGUGAUGUGAAAUGGUUAAUGCUGAUAGCUGUGUUUGCAGUCCAUAGGAGAAAGGCCGUCAUAUCUGGUCAUAUACCUUGUAUAGAAAGUCCUACAUUAUUGUACAUUCUAUUUAUUUAAGACUGAUCCAUCUUCAGAACUGACAAAUUAGUGUCAGACAGAUGCCUUAAGCUUUUACCAUGAUUGUCCAUGGAUGUAAACACAGAAAGCUGCAUACAUCAUCUUGUCUUAUGUCACGUGACCUGCUGUAAUCAUCAUGUCAUGAAUAAAAACAUCCAUCAUCCAG